UACGGAGGGGCUAGCGUUGUUCGGAAUUACUGGGCGUAAAGCGCACGUAGGCGGACUGUUAAGUCGGGGGUGAAAUCCUGGGGCUCAACCUCAGAAUUGCCUCCGAUACUGGCAGUCUCGAGUGCGGGAGAGGUGAGGUGGAAUUCCCAGUGUAGAGGUGAAAUUCGUAGAUAUUGGGAAGAACACCAGUGGCGAAAGGCGGACUCACUGGCCCGUAACUGACGCUGAGGUGCGAAAGCGUGGGGAGCAAACAGG
rnacentral:rRNA from 1 species